AGCGCCUUACAGGGUGACAGCCCCGUAAAAUCUAUUCUCAUUGUAAGAUACUUUCGAAGAGUCGAGUUGUUUGGGAAUGCAGCUCUAAGUGGGAGGUAAAUUCCUUCUAAAGCUAAAUAUUGACGAGAGACCGAUAGCGAACAAGUACUGUGAAGGAAAGAUGAAAAGCACUUUGAAAAGAGAGUGAAAAAGUACGUGAAAUUGUUAAAAGGGAAGGGUAUUGAAUCAGACUUGGUGCUGUUGUUCAACUGUGUUUUGGCAUAGUGUACUCAGCAGUACUAGGCCAAGGUGGGGUGUUUGGGAGUGAAAAAGAAGUAGGAAGGUAGCUCUUCGGAGUGUUAUAGGCUACUUUCAUAGCUCCUUAGGCGCCUCAGGACUGCGCUUCGGCAAGGACCUUGGCAUAAUGAUUCUAUACCGCCC
rnacentral:rRNA from 1 species